UGGAUGCCCAUUGCUCUCCAGAAAGAGAAUGAAGGUGACCUCUCUGUGUGUGAGUGAGGUGUCCACCAAAGACAGGCUGAAGCACUGCUGCCCUCCUGCUGAAGAGCUCCUCCUCCUCACCCACCUCCCAGCCAGGCUCACAGCUGAGUUCUUGGCUGCUUCCUGCCCUGGUGGAGCAUUUUCCUGGGCUGUAUUUCCUCCUGUGGUGGGGAGUCAUUCCUCAUGCUCCUGUGGAGCGGGGCAGCCCUGUGAAUGUGACUGGGGCUGCUCUCUGCUUAGCAGAGCAAAGGAGAUGCGUUCGACUGAGCUAAAAAUAGCACCAAUUCUUUUUUAAAUAAUACCAAUUUUUCUUUCUUUUGGAAGAAAGCAACCAGGGCCUAAUGUAAGCAGAUACAAAAUAAGGGCGAGUCUGGCUAUUUCCCCGGGGAAAGCUUGAGAUGCUUACCUCAUCAUUUCUUGGAGUGCUCUAACAUCAACUCUGUCUGUCCCUGGUGAUGUACUGUCCUCACCGCUGCAUGGGGAAUAGACCUGAGUUCCAUAUGCAGCACUAGCUGGGAGAGAGGGAGGUUUUUAUACCAUUUUCUAAUUGUUUUUGUAUUUAAUUAUGGAGAUCCCGAGCGCUGGGUGCUUAACUCAAGGUGUCUGCAAACAGCCACAGAACAAAGCAGGGCUGUGUGUUUCUGCAGGGCUCGGGCUCUAGGUGUGCGCAAUGGCCUGGGGAUUGGGGCACCUCUUGAUGUUCUGUGCUGCAGCUCAUUAGGAAAAAGGAAAGUUAGCAGUGAAAGCCCGCAAUCAAAUAAACAAUAAAAGGGCAAAACUGUGUUUCCCCCUCUGUAAUUUGAUCUGUAAGAAAUGUAAAUUGCUCAUCCAGAAGAGAGCGAUUUUCAAUUAGUGCUGUUUUCUUAAACAUGCAAAUCCCCAGCCUUGUUUAGCUGCACAGUUUUGCCCUAACUCUGCAGAGAAUUCCCAAGCAACCUUUAAUAGACGGCCAUGCCUUCAGGCUUGUCCACUUAUGUUUUCUCUCCUGCCUGGGCACAAGAUAGAUUAUGCAUAUUAUUAUUCAUAAGUGCCACCUAUUGAAGGCACCACCACAGGCACGUUGCAAAUGGUGGGCUUGCCCCAGCUGUCCCCGCUCAAGCGAAACAUUCCAGCUCUCCGGCAGACCCUCCAAACCUCACCCUCAAAAUCGCUGGUAUUUUUCUUGGCACGGGGAAGGGCAUGCGGGAUAUCUGGUAGCCUUUACAGGCAGCUGAAAUCAAGAGGGUUUCCCCGUGCCCUCCUGCAGAGGUUCCCGAUGGCUGCUGCUUUGUCUCAGCAGUGCUGGGGAGCGAUGCAGUGCUGCUUGGUGAGGGCAGUGGUCCCCUGGCUGGUAUGGGGCAUGGUGAGCAGCCAGUGCAGACACACAGGGAAGCAAACGGGAGGCUUUCAAACGAUUUAGUUCUGAGCUUGGAAGUAGGAAUAGUAUUUAAAUAAAUGUUUUGAAUGCUUGUGGCUAGAAUUAAGCAUAACCCUACAUUGCUACAAAAGGUCAAUUGUGAUUCUAAUUACUCUUAUGCAAAAUAGCUCAUGUUUGAACUGUGCAGUUAUAAUUAAUACAUAUGCCUUAUUGCCAACUGUGAGCAUUUCUGAUCAUUAGAACCUGGACAGC
ensembl:lncRNA